rnacentral:rRNA from 1 species
UCAUUUCAUGGGGAGGAAACCUACGGGGUAUUUCGAGGGGCUCGCGGCCUAUCAGCUAGUUGGCGAGGUAACGGCUCACCAAGGCAACGACGGGUAGCUGGUCUGAGAGGAUGGCCAGCCACAUUGGGACUGAGAUACGGCCCAGACUCCUACGGGAGGCAGCAGUGGGGAAUCUUGCGCAAUGGCCUAACGGCUGACGCAGCGACGCCGCGUGUGGGAUGAAGCUCCUCGGAGUGUAAACCACUGUUGCCCGGGACGAAUAGCUCGAUUAAUCGAGCCUGACGGUACCGGGUGAGGAAGCACCGGCUAACUCCGUGCCAGCAGCCGCGGUAAUACGGGGGGUGCGAGCGUUGUCCGGAAUCACUGGGCGUAAAGGGCGCGUAGGUGGUUUGAUAAGGGUGUGGUGAAAGUCCGGGGCUCAACCCCGGAUCUGCCGUGCCGACUGUCAAACUCGAGGACUGUAGAGGCAGACGGAAUUCCGGGUGUAGCGGUGGAAUGCGUAGAGAUCCGGAGGAAGACCGGUAGCGAAGGCGGUCUGCUGGGCAGUUUCUGACACUGAGGCGCGACAGCGUGGGGAGCAAACAGGAUUAGAUACCCUGGUAGUCCACGCCGUAAACGAUGGGUACUAGGUGCCUGGGGGAGCGACCCUCUGGGUGCCGGCGCUAACGCAGGAAGUACCCCGCCUGGGGAGUACGACCGCAAGGUUGAAACUCAAAGG